rnacentral:rRNA from 1 species
UUCUACCUUCUGAAUAACCAGCAUGCCAUUUAGUUGGUGCGCUGGGAAGCANAGCUAUUACCUUGAAAAAAUUAGAGUGCUUAAAGCAGGCUAUUUGCUUGAAUAGAUUAGCAUGGAAUAAUAAAAUAGGACGGCAUGGUUCUAUUUUGUUGGUUUCUAGGAUCACCGUAAUGAUUUAAUAGGGAUAGUUGGGGGCAUUAGUAUUCAAUUGUCAGAGGUGAAAUUCUUGGAUUUAUUGAAGACUAACUUCUGCGAAAGCAUUUGCCAAGGAUGUUUUCAUUAAUCAAGAACGAAAGUUAGGGGAUCGAAGACGAUCAGAUACCGUCGUAGUCUUAACCAUAAACUAUGCCGACUAGGGAUCGGACGAUGUUAAUUUUUAAUGACUCGUUCGGCGCCUUACG